UUUAGGACUUUGAUUCCAUUUGGAUUUAGUUUGGGGGAGAGGAGGGAGCGCGCUGCGAUCGGCAGGCCCCUAAGUUUAUUUUUCUACAUGUAGACAUCCACUUUUCCCAGCACCAGUUGUUGAAGAUAGUGACUUGUCUUUUCUCCAGUGUCAAAUAUUAGAUGGCUGUAAUUACAUGUACUCCUGUUUCUAGCUCCCAUUUUGUUCUAAUGAUCUAUAUGCAUUUUUUGUGCCAUUACGACAUUUUUUUCCAUAUUGUUUUUAACUACUAUGGCUCUGUAAAAUGUCUAGAGGUCUGGAAGAGAAAUUCCUCUAACUUUUUUUUUUUUUUUUUUUUUUUGCUCAGUACUGUUUUGGUUAUCUGGGGUCUUUUGUGGUUUUAUAUGCUAUUCCUAUUUCUUACCAUGUGUCCUUGAUGUAGACCUUUGCCUGGGGACACAAGAGAUUAGAAGGAGGUGUUCUCUGAACUCAGACCUAUAGCCCAGCUUCCUCAGCCUCAUUUCUCUGACACUAGGCUUUAACCCUUUCUCUGACCUCCAGGCCUAGCUAAAACGCAUGCCUUUUCCGUCUACACCUGCUCACCCUGUGCCUUGUGGUUGCUGAGAUAUUUUUAGCUUUACUGUCCUGUUGUUUUUCUCCCAAUGUUUAAUAAUGUUGUCCUCAAGAUUGCUUCUAAGUCUGCUUUUAAAUUUUAUUAAUGAGACUAAAAACUCAAAGGGAACUCUAGUUUCCAUCCAUAAGAAGGCCAUGCCCUUCUACAAUGUGGUACUGAGAAAACACUGUGCCAAGCUGAUGCUUGGGACCAUCUAGUAUUGGUUCCAUACAUAACAGGAGUCUAUUAAUGUAGCCUGGGAUUUCCCAUUACCCCUCUCCCCCCCAAAAAAUCUUACAAAAGCCAGAACUCCAUUUUGCUUGUGGUUUUGUUGGAAUACUCCCUCAGUUUCCCAUCAUCCAGUUUUUGAAUGUUAUCUUUUCUUAUCUUUAGUUUUAAGCUAUCUCUUCUCAGCUAUCUCCCUUCUCAAGGCUUGAUCUUGGCUACAACUUUCCUAAAGAAGAUUUUUUUAAGGUUAUUUGGUCUCAACUUCUCCGUGAACCAGCACAUUUAUUAUUGCAGUCUCCAUUAGGGAAUUUUCACAAGCUUUGUCCAGAAAACUCAAAGAGAAAGGCUUGCCUUCAGCCAAACUGCUAACUACAGAGUGCAGUAAUCUAAGUUUCACCCAGAAGCUGGCACUGGUCACUCAGGACAGCCCCUAUUUGUAUGGUGAAGAUUUCAUUACUAUCGACUACACAGCAACUCAUGCUAACCUGGUAAGACCAAACACAAACCAAUCUUGACUGCCUUUAACCACAUGGCAGGAAUUACUUUCCAAGAAACUACAAAGCACCAGCUCACCCUAACAGAAUAGGAAUUUCUCUAAAACGGAGACAUUACAACCCAGUGCCUUAGGCUACAGAUGGUGUGCUCCUUACUGUCCUGUCUACUGCCUCUUACCACAGACUAAGUAAACCUGUUUCCUUCCUAUUGGGAUCAUUCACUGACUGCUAGUCCCUUCCCUGCCACUGGGGUCAUCAUCCAUCCUAACAUCUGUAUUCCAUUUACAGUCAUAGCUUUUAUGCUCCUUUCUUGAAAAUAUCCGUAAAAUAUUAAAGACAGCAGAGUCCUAAGAGUCUUCGCUUGACGCCUUGUCUUACCCUUAGAAUCUAGAACAAGUCUGACUCAGGAUAUUGAGAAUCUGAAGAGCUUCUAGAUUCCGAAGCCUCUGUGACUAAGUACUUUCUUACACAAUUCAAUCUUGUUUAAAAAUAUUCAUCAUAGCCUCAGAUUUCUAUUAGAUAAUUCCUCUAUGAAAAAGAAUAAAAUCCACACCUGUAUUAAAGAGUCUUUGAGGCUGAUUGACAGGUUGUUCAUACAGUUAUCCUCACUGAAGUGUCGUAGGAGUCAGAAGGGAAGGAGAGGCAAGAACCUAGAAAGAAAAGGUUGCUGUCGUCAUUGCUAACCCAGAAUGGAAGCCAUCUUUUCCCAGAGGCCUGGCCAGAGCUAGUAGUCACCACCCACGUUGCCAUUGCAUUCAGACCCUCAUGGCCAGAUCCCAAGGUGAUCCAAACUCUCUCCCUUCAAAUGCCUACACAUUACUGAUGGUUUACAUCUACAGUAUACCUUAAUAAAUGUCUUUUUAAAUGGUA